rnacentral:rRNA from 1 species
CCUUGUACACACCGCCCGUCACACCAUGGGAGUUGGAUUGACCCGAAGGUGGUGGGCUAACCCGCAAGGGAGGCAGCCAACCACGGUCGGUUCAGCGACUGGGGUGAAGUCGUAAACAAGGUACC